rnacentral:lncRNA from 1 species
UUUCACCUUCAUCGUUGUAGCCCGCGGACAUGGCGGGUGCCAUAAGAGAUGGCGCCUACCAGGUGUUUGAUGAAAUGGCGCACCUGAUCAAUCCGUCAAAAGACAAGGAUGAUGCCUUCCCCUGACAUCACAGCUAAUCUUCAGAUGAUCCGAGAUGACGAUCGCCUGAAAAGCACCCCGAGUUGGUCUAUAGAUAAAUAUCUUCUGAGCGAUGAUGGAUAUAAAGAAGAAUAAAGCGGUCCCCCCAGCUUUCCAAAAGAUGGUACCAUUAAAUUCAAGGAAAAUGUUGUGAGGAGUCCAGUCCAGGAGGCACACAUCCAACUACUAUUCUCUCUGUGAGGUCCCGUGGGGUUCAUGCUGGCGAGCAUCAACCCUCGCUGAAGAGAUUUUUGUUAACUCUUUUUCUCGGUGAUUACUGGGAUGAUACAUGUUAUGAUCUUGAAGAAUUUGUCACAGAAUUCCUGAUCCAAG